CGGGGCAUAGUGUAACGGCUAACAUACAUGAUUCGGGUUCAUGUGAUUCUGGGUUCGAAUCCCAGUGCCCCGACAA
rnacentral:tRNA from 3 species